ensembl:lncRNA
GAAAAAGUCCAUGGCAGGGCAGGGCAGAAGGCAGCAAAGUAGUGCAGCAGCAGUAGCAGCAAGGCUUCUGUCCCUUGUAUUUCCUCCAGAGCAGUAAAAGCCACAUUGCCAUUGGUGUUAACCCCACUCAAAAUAUUCCCGCACUGAAUGAGAGUGGACUUUUCUCCAAGCGUCAGUGAUGAGGUGUCCUCUGGGAAGUAGUGUGAGCCACGAGCAUACAAACCCCUCCUGCAGCCCAGCCCCGAGACCUGGGGGAGGCAGCUUCUCCUCCCCACUCUUCCCCUCGGCUGAAGGAAGAGCCAACUUGCAUCCCUCAGGACCAGGUGGAUGGGCUCCUGGACCCCCAGGUACCAAACCCUCUACUGCUCCAGUCCCCUGUGUUAAACGGCGUAGAGUUUGGUACAGUCUGAGCCCGCCCUUCCACCCACAGCUCCUUAAGUCAUCUCCUAUCAUGCAGGCUGCUGCCUGCAUGGUCACUGCACUGCCCGGCAUGGGACAGCGACGAGAAGGACGACCUGUAUGUGCUCGGCACAGAGGCCAUCUUCUCCUUGCAAGUACCCCUCACCCAUUGUUCACUGCAUGUGGGGUGGGAGCCUGCGGCAGGAAGGGGCUGGCUCUCGCUCAUUUCGAGUUCAUCACAGCAAGGGCUCCCUGGUUUUGCUAAGG